CCUACCCUUGACAUGUCAGGAAGUCCGCAGAGAUGUGGAUGUGCUCGAAAGAGAACCUGAACACAGGUGCUGCAUGGCUGUCGUCAGCUCGUGUCGUGUGAUGUUGGGUUAAGUCCCGCAACGAGCGCAACCCUUGUCAUUAGUUGCUACGAAAGGGCACUCUAAUGAGACUGCCGGUGACAAACCGGAGGAAGGUGGGGAUGACGUCAAGUCCUCAUGGCCCUUAUGGGUAGGGCUUCACACGUCAUACAAUGGUCGGUACAGAGGGCUGCCAACCCGCGAGGGGGAGCUAAUCCUUUAAAACCGAUCGUAGUCCGGAUUGUAGUCUGCAACUCGACUGCAUGAAGUCGGAAUCGCUAGUAAUCGCGGAUCAGAAUGUCGCGGUGAAUACGUUCCCGGGUCUUGUACACACGCAAUC
rnacentral:rRNA from 1 species